UAAUUAGUUUCCUGUUCAAUUUAAUUUAUUUUAUUUCUUUCUGCUUCAUUGUGAAAUAUGAAAAAUUUGGCACUCCUAUUAGAAUUACAGAUCAGGAUAGGAAAAAAAUACCCACCCCUUGGUGUUUUGUUUUGUUGAAAGUGAGCCUUUGGGCUUGUUUGCUUGUAGAAUGAGUUUAUUGACAGUGCUAAUGGCGUUUAAAGGGAGACAGAGAUGUCACUAUUACUGUUCAAAUGCAUUGUAAUUAAUCUGAAGUAUGCUAGAGGGAAACUAAGCUGAUGGGACCAUAGCCAUAAAGUUUGUUUGUUUGUUUGUUGACUAAGAGGCACGUUGUAAUUAUAAUUGCUCCCGGAUCCCAAGUGGCUAAUAGAUGUAGGACACAUUAGGAUUUUGCCAGCACUGAUUCCUUGCAUGCAAAUCCAUACCUAAACAUAUUUAUUUAUUCCUGCUUAUAACCUCGGAGUAUUUGUUUUGUAGUAAAGAACCGUCUGUGCCCUCUGGCUCUUGCAGAAAAAGAGCAUGCUGGAUGAUUUCUGCAUGCAAAACCAGUGUCCCUACUGUACUCUUUAUUCUUUCAAGUAUGACCCCAAUAUCCACAGAACUUGUACUUGCAAUUUUAUUUAUACCCAUCUGACAAUCUAUGUCAUAUAUUAACCUUUUCGGUCUUCCAUGAUGACUCUACUGGGUUAUUUUUGGGCCAGAAGUCCUUCAUUUCAAUAGAGUUCACCAUUAUCUUCAAUUAUGCAGAUCAAUGAGAAUCUUGGGAAUGUAUUUCCCUGUAUUAUUAUAUUAUAUUAUAUUAUAUUAUAUUAUAUUAUAUUAUAUUAUAUUAUAUUAUAUUAUAUUAUUCUCGCUUUUUCCCAGCCUUAACUGAAGGCAGUCUUUAUGAUUCCUGGAUCCGUCAUUCAGAGAAAAUAGUGUUAGGUGACAUCAGAGGAGAGCUAGAGAGGAAUUAUAAUUGGUGACUUCCAUGUCACUGGAAAAAUAAGGACACUGUCAGUUAGAGCCUGAACUUUAAAAGAAUUAGAUACAGUGAUGAACCUACUGUACUCUUAAAACAUGUUCAGCACCACGGAGAACUCCAUUAAGGUUUAAGCUAGAAUGCAGACUAAAGUUGGCCCUCCACAUUUGUGAGUUUGACUUUUGUGUAUUUGUUAGGUGGUACACUAUGACUGUAUUGUCAACCUCUAUCAGAUUCCUCGAGGCAGCACCUCUCUAGGCAUCUCUAGGAACUCCUGUGCAAUUUGGGUGGAAAAUAAUCACAGAACUAUGCUGAAAGACCUACAAAUCCAUAGAGAAAUAUUCUCUUGGGUUUAAAAGAAUUGUUUUUUUUUGUUUGUGGUUCUCCCUCUUUUGCUAGGGUAUUCACUGCUAAGCCCACUCUUAAGCCCAGCCACUCUGGGGCCACUUAUGACAUUAUCUGAUCCAAUGGCCUUAGACACAACAUAAAUACAGCACUAUUAUUCCACUAUAAUUGCCAAGGCAAUGCCCUAUUGGUCUUAGA
rnacentral:lncRNA from 1 species